UCAACACACACUUGUUGGUAACCUCUGGCAU
rnacentral:piRNA from 2 species